UCACUUUUUAAAGCAACUCUAAUAAAACCGGACAGACACAGAGAAGAAUAGUAUGGCUCUGUGACAGGAUAACUAAGUCUAUCUGUGAGACAUUCUAUAUUUCU